UACGUAGGGGGCUAGCGUUGUCCGGAUUUAUUGGGCGUAAAGAGCGUGUAGGCGGCCAAGUAGGUCCGGUGUGAAAACUCGAGGCUUAACCUCGAGAUGUCAUCGGAAACCAUUUGGCUAGAGUCCGGAAGAGGAAAGUGGAAUUCCUGGUGUAGCGGUGAAAUGCGCAGAUAUCAGGAAGAACCCCAAUGGCAAAGGCAGCUUCCGGGGAGGGAAUGGCCGUUGAACCCCAAAAGGUUGGGAGCGAACAGG
rnacentral:rRNA from 1 species